UUUGAACCUUCUCAAUUAUGAGCUAUUUAGGAACGUGGCAACUCAAAAAACUUGUACUUAGCUACUGUCCAAAAGGCGGAUCAAGCGCAGGAAUACGAAAACUGAUUGCAUCUUCGAGCUUUGACACAUUCAAGCAACAAAACCCUCAACUUAUCGUUGAAACAGAAAAACGAGCCUGCCGACAUCCGCACCUAAUUGGCACAUACAUUCACGAUGGAAAAAAAACGCUAUGUGUAAAGAACACAGAACCGAGUUUUAUCCUGUCCCAAAUGAAUCGCCUACGAGACUCUCGAGGAUAUAAAGCGCGCACCUGGGUUGAAAAACAUCGUGUCGUCACCAAGAAUCCCUCUAUUCAAGGACAGUGGACACCUUUUUUCAAAUUCGCCGAUCCACCAGUACAAACUUAAAAGCCCUCUCUCUCCUACAUAUGGCACAAAAACUAUCUAUCAACGCAAAUGCAUGCGCAUACCAGACGCCCAGCCUAUCUUGAACUUUCCUGUUUUGGGAUGAGCGACACACUUCUAAAAAUCACCUUGACGCAUGAACACAUUUCAUAAUCUAAUUCAACCGAGUUUUCUUUUUCUUCUUGACAUAAAGCGUUAGAAAAAUCUGUACUUCACGUUCCUCUUUUUUAUCGUCCGCACCUUGUCUAAAAAGAUUUAUCGUCCGUACCUUGUCUAAAAAUCAGAUGCGUUCCAAUUGUCUCGGAAAAUGUUCCCUCGAAUAACAUGUCGUCGAUCUGGAGCAUAGGAUGUUCUGUCUCUAAUCCCUAUUCACGCCACGACCGGUAUAAACUCGUCAGCGCACAUUUUUGACAGUUGUACAAAACCAACCUCGUCUGCAUGCGCGUACAACAAUGCUGUAUUUUUUGCAGUUAGCCAGUAAAUUGGUCGUCGAAAAUUCUGGAAUCUCAAUAAUGGCAUGAAUCUUUUUGGCAGUCAUUUAUCGUUGCUUCCUGCCUUGAAAAAAAGUGUCAAAUUAAUGCGCAGAUAUUUUUUUUGUCCUUUAACAUCGACCGUUUAUUUUUUCUCACAGGAUCCAGCGAAUCAGUACUGCUGCUAAGGAAAUAAAAACCUAGAGAUGAAUACAACAAAUGAUGCUUUUCUCCAAGAAACGCACAGACCAGGAAAACUUGUCGAGUCAAGAGCGGAUUCCUGUCAGAUGAAUGCCACGUCUUCCUUUUUCCAGAAUGGAGACAUGCUACAGCUUUUAGAGGAUUCAAAAAACCGAGACGCGACGAAUCUCGGGUCAUCACUACAGGGAAAUUCGGCCGCCGAAAACCUCAUCACUAUCAAAUUGUUUGUAGAGUCUGUGAAAGAAGUUGAGUCUCUGUUUUCGAAGUUUGCUGAACCGCUGCUACAGCAAGAGAUAGAACUCUUAGAGUUUGAAGAGAAGCUUGAAAAACUGCACGAGUCAUACUCAGAUUACAGUAAAACACUGAGGAGUAAACACUCAAUAAUAGUCGAAAACAUAAAAUCAUAUUUGACGACUCUCACGAAUGAGACAAUAUAAGGUUUAGCAAGAACACCGACAAAAUGUGGACAUAUAGAAGCAGCCUGCGCAUUCUUGCCUCACAGUUUCCUCUAAUGGCGCUAUUUUUUGGAUAUAGAGACCUCAUUUACCAAUUAGAAAGAUGCGAUGUAUGUCGCAUUUUGAAUUUUUGUAGUUAUAAAAAACACAAUUAUUUGACA